CUGGGGCCGCUGGGGAAGCAUCCGCGGCUUGUGGUGGCUGUGGUUUGGUGCUCAGGACCCACACGUCAAAGGAGCUCAUUCGGAAGCAGAGGCACGCGCUUGUCCCCAGAACUCAAACUCCAGAGUCCCUCCAGCAGAUGAGAGUGGAGGCUGUAAAUCACCCUCUAUGCAAUGGCUCAUCAUAAGGGAUAUGGAGCAAAAUUAGAGGAGGCACGAGAAGGAAAGCCGGUGAUGAACAAGGCAGAGGCUGCUGCGGCUUGAUUGAAGACAGGCUGGGAACGCGGGAGAAGCCGCUGGAAACUGGUUUGGGCUGGAGGUCUAAUUACCCCAUCCCAGGUCAGAAAAGCCCAGAACCCAGCCUUCUGCUCUGCCUUGGGGAGUAGGAUGGGAGAAUCUGUGUGCAGUAAACUUCCUGAGACAGUGCCUCAUAGUGCCAUCUACAUGGAAUGUGAAGUCAAUCAGAAUGUCUCUAAAUCCUGGCUCUGUUGGGUUUUGGCUGUGUGACUUUGGGCUAUUGCUCAAAGACUGAAUGACAUGGACCCCAGAGUUUAUGUGAGUUACUCUAAAAUAUGGUAAAAUCAGGGCUUCACUCCCAACUGAGAGCCCUGCAGAGUGAAGAGUUUCUCAAGAGACCAUCUGAUAAAUGCGGGCUCCCACACACAGAGAUGUGAGCUAGAGCCAUGCCACAAAUAAUAUAUAUUAUUUUCUUGUCCA